rnacentral:rRNA from 1 species
AUUGAACGCUGGCGGCAGGCCUAACACAUGCAAGUCGAACGGCAGCACAGAAGAGCUUGCUCUUUGGGUGGCGAGUGGCGGACGGGUGAGUAAUGUCUGGGAAACUGCCCGAUGGAGGGGGAUAACUACUGGAAACGGUAGCUAAUACCGCAUAACGUCGCGAGACCAAAGUGGGGGACCUUCGGGCCUCACACCAUCGGAUGUGCCCAGGUGGGAUUAGCUAGUAGGUGGGGUAAUGGCUCACCUAGGCGACGAUCCCUAGCUGGUCUGAGAGGAUGAGCCGCAACACUGGAACGUGGAAACGGUCCAGACUCACACGGGAGGCAGCAGUGGAGAAUAUCGCACAAUGGGCGCAAGCCUGAUUCAGCCAUGCCGCGUGUAUGAAGAAGGCCUUCGGGUUGUAAAGUACUUUCAGCGGGGAGGAAGGCGGUGAGGUUAAUAACCUUGCCGAUUGACGUUACCCGCAGAAGAAGCACCGGCUAACUCCGUGCCAGCCGCCGCCGUAA